GGCCGUUUUCUUCACCUGCCCCGCUUAACGCGUUAAACCUGGCUUACGGUAAGCCUCGCUUAACGUUAAGCCGCACAUUUAAGCGAGGCUUAAAAAAUUACAUUUCUUCACCCCGGUUUAGCAAUCUGAGAGGCUCGCUUACCGUAAGCCGCGCUUAGGUAUAUUUCCCGUUUGGUCGCCCUAUUUUUCCAUUUGACCUGUCACUUUAAGCCGACGAUGAUUGUUUUGAUGUGAUACGCAAUCGAGAAAUUCGACAUUGAUCAUUAAUGAGGGCCAAUUUCGUAAAUCAUGUGUUUUUCUUUUCACAGUAAUGAUGAAUGUUUCCUUGAGAAUUACAUAUUUCUCAACACAUAACACCAGGAAACAGUCAUUUUUAUAAAUAAGACUUUGGCUCUUAUGAGAUAGUGUCAGUAGUAGAAGAAUUGAAUCUAUUUUUCUGUUUUUAACAACUCGUUGGGACUUUGAACAAAAAGAUGCGGAAGAAGAAUUGCUGCUGAGAUUAGCAUUGAAUAGAAAAGACGUAAUUGAAUGCAAGGUCAGCGACGUUAAAAGGAACGACGAUAAAGUUCGCAUGUGGGAGGAAAUCACUAGAGAGUUCAAUACGAGCUGCCUCAAUACGGUAAGUAUAAUAGUACUUCGUGUGCUAUUCACAAGUAAAUUUGCGUUUCUUCGUUACGCACGAUUUUAGUUUGAGCAAUCUGUAAAUUUUGAAUAUACUUCGAAUGCGAGCCAGACCUUUUUAAGGCCCAAGCACAAUGACAGCGACAGAGUGACACAGUGGUAGCGCGGCAAACCAGAUUUUAUUCAUCGUUCAGUGGCGUAGCCAGAAAUUCGGUCUAGGGAGGAUUUGUGUCGAACAAAUUUUAAAAAGAGGAUGUAAAUGAAAAUUUUAGGCUCUGGGGGAGGUUUUGACCUUAAGCCCCUCCCCCUGGAUACACUACUGAUCAAAUCAAAGUAGGAUUGAUGUUAUCUAAAACUAAUUCAACUUGAUUCAACUCUCAUUGAUAUUGGGCUGCCGAAACUGUCCCUGUUAUUAUGCGUGGGCAUUCAAAGCAUUAUGAUAUUUAUGAUCGGGUUAUGGCUCUAUCAAUACAAAUAUUUUUUUUUAUCAAUUUUAUCAAACAGGUGAGAACGCUGACAGUACUCAAAAAGAAAUAUGAAAAUAUAAAAAAGAACAUCCGUCAGGCGGUUUCAAAGGAGACAUUAUCGCGUAGAGCCACUGGUGGCGGUCGAGGCCCUGAAGAAUGGCGGCCAAAAUCAGAAGCGAUGGCUGAGCUACGAGAAGUAAUCGCGUUGUCUGUCGAUGGACUUCAAUCUCUUUGCGACGAUGAUGAUGAUGAAGAAACCGUUGCUGCUGCGCCAAAAGAAUCCACAACAUUGAUUGAGCCCGAGAUAGAUUCUCAGAUAGAGCCUCAUGCUGAAGUGGAAGCAGCAACGAGCUAUGGUUAUGAGGUUGAAUAUCUAGAUGACGAUUCUAGAUCUGCUAUCAACAAUGAGGUUGCAUGUGAUAAAGUGAUCGAAAGUGAUCACAUUGAAGGAUCAACCGGUGAUGAUCGAGAUCAACUAGCGAGUCCCAGCAAAAGUACGAGUUCUGUCCCAAAAUCUGGUGAUACAUGGGACAAAUACAGCCCCGCUAUGCUCAAACGGCCGAAAAGUAAUUUCCUUCAGGCAAAAUCGAAGCGCCAGAAGACCAUUGAGCAGGACCUUAAAAAGAAAAUUUUAGAACGCAAUG